CAUUCGGCGGUUUCGUCUCUGUGUGAUUUCUGCGGGAGGCCCUCUGGGCGCCCCGGCAUCCCUGAGCGGGAGGGGGUGGGGUGGGGCGGGGGCGGGGGCGGGGGGCGUCCCACCGCUGCCCAGGUGCGGGCGGACGGCGGACUCGGGCGGGGACUGCGGUCUGGGCGGUGACACCUGGGACCUGACCGCGCCCAGCCGGCCGGAUCGCGGGUGGAGACGCCGGCUGCCGCGGGCUGGGCUCCUGCGCCCCGGGACUCGGUGCUUGCGGUCAGGGAGGUCUCCCGACGCCGGGGCGGGCGUGGGGGGGGGGGGAAGCGCUCGGGGCUGCCCCUCUGUAGGUGGGACUCGGUGUCCUGCCGGGAUCCUCCGUCCUGACCACUGCUUCCAGCCUUGUUUGCGGCUCCUGUCCUCCCUGCUGGGCUGGUCUUCGCUCACCUAGCCCAGGUGUCAGAAUAACGAUGAACGGUUAAUAAACGUGAUGAACAAUGACUGUCACGGACUGUGCGUUGGACCUGGGGUGGGUCCUCAGAAUGACAGCUCUCUGCGGACCGGAGCUCCCUCCCUCCUGGUCGCCGCGGCAUCCCUGUGGCCUGGCAAGGCCUGAAGGACCUGACGAGUCCACAGGGACGAGAGGAUCCAGGAAGAGGAACCCGAGGCAGAGAGGUCAAGCUUUGUCCCCAAGAUCUCUUGGCAAGUAGGGGGAUCUCUUGGGUCUACCUUGGGUGGUCUGAGCCCUGAGCCUGUUUUAUAUGCUUUUGUACUUUUCUUUUCUUUUUUUUUUAGAGCUCAUACAAGCAGGUGGGGGUGGGGAAGGGCAGA